UGUCUUUCCAGUGUUUUGGAACUUGGCUUACACAUGACAGUAGUCUUGCUUUUUUACGCUAGAAAGUGGGAAAACACUUUUGCUUUCCUCAGAAACGUGUUAAAAUCUAAAUAAAAUGAAUUUUACUAAAAGAUUAAAACAGAAAUGGAAAAGGAAAGGAUUUGAACCUUCAAAUUCAGUGGGGAGAUUUGCUUUUGUGAAGCCUCAAAACAUCAUUUUCAACUCUAGAGUAUAAAGUGAUCUCAAAAGUUAGGGAACUCAUCAGCUGAAGGUCAGUGAUAGCUUCUCCUCUAGCCCUUCCUCAAAACCAAAUUUGAGGUGUCAUGCCAGAUUCAUUGAUUAAUAGGAAUUCCCAUGUCUAUUUCAAGAUCAAAACUAUGCGACACUUACCAAAAUCAAAAUUAUUGCAUGUGUCUUGGAAUUUUUAAUAGUCCUUUUAAAAUAAACGUAAUGAACUUGUUUCUUGAUUUGCACGUUUCUUUGUAUUAAUAGAGCAAAGAAUAAUUUUAUGCCAUAUUUUACUCUUGCUUUUCAGAGUUAUUCUUUGGAAUUUGAAGAAGAGAUCUCAGUGUAGCACCACCAUAUUUGACCUACAAUAAUGAAAGGCAACUGCCAAGUUCUGAAGGCCACUGCUUGUCCGCUUCUUUCUUGCUGCUUCUGUCAGUACCAGGACAGCACAGCUUCAGGACUCCUCCUGUGACCCAGCUUGAAAGAGCAGGAAUGGAUAGUGGUCCUCCAGCUUUAGAAUACCUGGGAUGAGGAGAUGAUUCCAAAAGAGUCAGAAUGUGGCAGAAAUGAAAAAAUUACAGAUCUUCAUUUGACUUACUAAUCAAGAGAGGAGUGAACAGUUGACACACAGUACAGGAAACAAUUGAAGUCUUUCAUUCCAUUUUGAAGAUUUUUGUUUCUUUGAAGGAGGAGUACUCUUUCUGCAGAUCUAAGCUCUUGUUGACACCACUGAUUAAUUUACUCCAGAUCAGGACCCAUUUUCCCACCCCCUCUUCAUUUGAUUUAUUAUUUCUCUUUUUAGAAACCUAACAUGAACACCUCACAAAACAUUAUUUACAGAACUGUCAGCACUUUUAUACAAUGUAGGUUAUGUGAUCUGUGCAAAAUACAUUAAUGUUAUUU